rnacentral:rRNA from 1 species
UACGGAGGGGGCUAGCGUUGUUCGGAAUUACUGGGCGUAAAGGGCGCGUAGGCGGAAUGGCAAGUCGGUCGUGAAAUCCUUCGGCUCAACCGAAGAACGUCGAUCGAAACUGCCGUUCUUGAGGAUUGCAGAGGAGACUGGAAUUCCCGGUGUAGCGGUGAAAUGUGUAGAGAUCGGGAGGAACACCGGUGGCGAAGGCGAGUCUCUGGGCAACAACUGACGCUGAGGAGCGAAAGCGUGGGGAGCGAACGGG